rnacentral:rRNA from 1 species
AUGGCAAUUCUGGCUAUUGCAAACAACUUCCAUCAAGCAAACCAAAGGAGUCGAGAUACCCAUGAAAAAAGGUGGCUGAAACCCAAUCCGAGAUUUGUGAAGUUGAAUGUGGAUGCCUCAUUCCAUGUAGAUGAAGGUACUGGAGCAACGGCAGCAGUCAUUCAAGAUGAGAAAGGUAACUUCUUAGCAGCCCAAUGCAAAUACUUAACACAUGUAUCAGAUGUGGUCACCUCUGAAGCUCUGGCAAUGAGAAACGGUCUCGCUUUUGCAAACUCUCUUGGUUUCCCUAGAGUAGAAGCAGAAUCAGAUUCGACAACAGUUAUUGAAUACUGCUCAGGCCAAACCAGAUGGUGGGAUGCUGCUGCUGCCAUUUUCGCCGAGUGUGUGGACGUUUCGUCGCUUAUUGGGAAGGUUACAUUAAGCAUUGUGGUCGUUCAUCGAACCAAGCAGCUCAUGUGCUAG